rnacentral:rRNA from 1 species
UACAGAGACUGCAAGCGUUAUUCGGAUUCACUGGGCGUAAAGGGUGCGCAGGCGGUCGGGUGUGUCAGAUGUGAAAUCCCGAGGCUCAACCUCGGAACUGCGUCUGAAACUACUCGACUAGAGUACUGGAGAGGGUAACGGAAUUCACGGUGUAGCAGUGAAAUGCGUAGAUAUCGUGAGGAACACCAGAGGCGAAGGCGGUUACCUGGACAGUUACUGACGCUCAGGCACGAAAGCAUGGGGAGCAAACGGG